rfam:Pseudothermotoga thermarum DSM 5069 chromosome, complete genome.
GACCCGCUAGCUCAGCAGGCAGAGCACCUGACUUUUAAUCAGGGGGUCCUGGGUUCGAGUCCCAGGCGGGUCA